GGUGUCAGAUUUUGGAAAGAGAGAUAUUCCUCUCUUAUCUCUAAAAAUCUCGGUACAUUCAAAGAGGAAGCCAAAGAAUUCACUUAAAAAAAACUAAAACAAAAAUCAUUUAAUAACUUUCCUUCUCUUUCUCACAUAAUAUCUCCAUAUCUCUCUCAUCCUAUCAUUAUUUAUAAACAAAACAAAUAUUAAAAACUUCACAAAAACCAAACCAAACACGGUGGGGCUUAUGAAGCUCAACGGUGGCCGGAGCUAUUCUGGCGCGGCGGCCGGAAACAAACAAAUCCAGAAAUAAAAAAAAUAACAUCACUAUGUUCGUUUUUCCGCCCUCAUUUCAAAUAUCAGGUUCAUUUUUGGAGAAAGUUGACUCACAAGCACAAAUCUAAAAAGAAAGUGCUCGAGAUUUAAGUUCUAAACAAAUGUAAAUAUCACUACAAUCAGAAAUUGAAGGGAGGAAUCGUUAUCAGAGAGUAACUCUCAACCUUUUGAUGUGAGCAGAGGAAGAAAACGCUGGAGGUUUGAAGAUGCCGGCGAAGGUAUGAAGUUUCCGGCGAGUUCUAAUGAGGAAGGAUCUUGGACUUGCAAGAGAAAUAAUGCCGUAGAUGAAGCUUGGAGAAUUCAAGUAACAUGCUCUCAAAAACAUUUGGUGAAUUGCUUUUACUAUUAGGAAGUAAUGAUACUUUGUAGAACUUAUAACCAAUUUGAUUUGAAUCCUUGUUGCUUUACAAAUCUUGAAUGAACUUUCAUAAAUUUUUUU